rnacentral:rRNA from 1 species
CGCAUUAAGUUAUCCGCCUGGGGAGUACGGCCGCAAGGUUAAAACUCAAAUGAAUUGACGGGGGCCUGCACAAGCGGUGGAGCAUGUGGUUUAAUUCGAAGCAACGCGCAGAACCUUACCAGCGUUUGACAUGUCCGGACGAUUUCGGGAGACCGAUCUC